rnacentral:rRNA from 1 species
UACAGAGGGGGCAAGCGUUGUUCGGAAUUACUGGGCGUAAAGGGCGCGUAGGUGGCCUUCUAAGUCAUGCGUGAAAUCCCUCGGCUCAACCCGGGAACUGCGUCCGAUACUGGAAGGCUUGAAUCCGGGAGAGGGAUGUGGAAUUCCAGGUGUAGCGGUGAAAUGCGUAGAUAUCUGGAGGAACACCGGUGGCGAAGGCGACAUCCUGGACCGGUAUUGACGCUGAGGCGCGAAAGCCAGGGGAGCAAACAGG